GCCAUAGUGGCAAGAAAAUCCCUUGGACAAGGUCUGUAUGGGUUCGAGUCCCAUCCGAGGCA
rnacentral:tRNA from 1 species